AAAAUAAAGAGAGAAAAAUAAAAGUAAAAAAAAAAGUAUGUUAGUCGAUCGGGUGAUCGAUACUUUCCAGAAGAAAACAAAAAAGAAAAAAAAUUAUUUGAAUUAUAAACUAUUUUGAAUUGGCUAUGAAAUUUUUCAAAGUUUUACUUUAGUUAUCUAAUCUUUCAGUUUGUUUGAUUUGAAAUAGUGAACAAUACUUUAACUUUACAAUUUGAAUGCGUUAUUUAUCUUUACAUAUUUAAUUAGCAUAUUUCGUACAAUUCUCAUAACUACAAAUUUAUUAAAAUAAGUAAUCAGUUUAAAUUUUAAUGUCAAAGUAUGUUGGCCGACUAAAAUCAAACAAAUUGAAAAAUUAGGUAGUAAAAUCAAAAUUUUGAAAAAUAGGAUAGUCAAUUUGUUAAGCUCCAACUUCAAUAUUAUAUUAAGUUAUAUGAAAUAACUACUGUUCUCUAAAAGUUUAAGCCGAUAGAAAUGGUAUUUUUAUAUUUAUAUAUUCAAUGCUAUUAAAUACAAAAAUAUUUAAACACUGUUCUCUAUCAUCAUCUUAAGUUUUUAGAGAAUAAUGGUUGUGUCAUUUAGUUUAACAUAGUACGAGAGUAAGAGGUCUUGAUUUCGAAUCACGCCAGGCUAAAUCUUCAGUAUUAGACGUAAAGAAAAGUGUUAAAUAUAAAAAUAUAUAAGUUUUCAGAGAAUAAUGGCUCAGCAUCUAGUACUUCGAAAUAAUAAUCACCUGCAUUGACAAAACUAACGAAGGUAAACGCAACAAUUAAACAAAUAAACGAAGCUUU
rnacentral:lncRNA from 1 species